UUGUAGAUGUUAAAAGCAAGAGACAUGGGAGAGCAUCAUUCCUUUGAGAUUUUAUAACUCAAACCAACUUUGGAGUUGUCUGAUUUGGAGAGUCAUUAUUCUUGGUCUUCGCUCUUAGAGGCCACUGAUGAAGAACAGGCGGUGACUGGGAUGAAUGCUGGUCAGAGAGGAGAAUCUUCUUUCCCCUAAACUGAUGCAGCGGUGGUUUUAAAGGAGGACGCUGCCCUGGAUGAUGUAGAAGAUGUCACAUGCUGUGCUGAUGCGGUUUCUUCAUGAUUACAUCAGUUAUGCUAAAGAGAUCAUGAAAAUUGACUGUGAUGCAUCAUCUGUAUUCAUGGACUAUGAAACAAACUGUAAGUGUAUAAUUUGUUAAAAAAAAAAAAGUUAAAUGCUUUUUCUGUGUUGUUUAGUAGAAGAGUUUACACUCUGUCAUUCAUACACCUGCUCACAUUCUUUCACACACACACACACACACACACAAACACAUGCAUCUGUUAAAUGUUAUAAUAUCAAAGUUAAUGUUGUGAUUUAUUUGUGUAGUGUCAUGCCAGAAUAGUUGGAAAAAAACCUAACUAAUUGUAAAUUUAUUGUAUGUGUUUUCGUAUAUUUUAUACAAUAUAUACAAUUGAACAAAGUCCAAUUUGAUCUUAAGUUAUAUUCAUCAAAUGUUCAAUGCUUUGUUUAUGAACUCUGUAGCUGUUAAUGCCAUCCUUUUCUGCAUUUCUUCUAACAUGUUACUUUUUGACUUUUCUCUUGUUUUUAAUAAAUAUUUUCCUUUUGGUAA